UGGAGCCAAAUUCAUUGAAUGAAAAUAAAAUAUUGCAUCCGACAAUUGAACCGAACCGGCUAUCAGCAUCUUUAUUUAUUUAUUAUUAUUUUUUUUUUUUUGUUCCAUCUCGUGAAGAACAUCAACAAUAUCAUGAACUGAGAAGUUUGAUUUCUGUUGCUGAAAGAUGAUGAUUUCAAAGUAGAUGGUUGUGAGGGAGUCAAGAAUUUUUGAAGAAUCAACAAAUAUGUUGGAUUACUGACUGUCAGGUUAGGUAUACGUGUAUCUGUACAUAUAUAUAUAUAUAUGUGUGUGUAUAUAUAUAUAUAUAUAUAUAUAUAUAUUAUAUAUAUGUUGUAAAGGUUUGGUUUCUUUGAGUAACUGUGAGAGAAAAAAUUGUUUUAAAAAUUACAAAUGGUUAUUGUGUUAAUCUCUGAGACAAACUUCAGACAUUGUUGCUUUUAUGAUGGUGGGGUGGGGAAUUAAAUAUAGUUAUUGUUAUUUAUUAUUCUUAUGAUUAUUAUUAUUAUUGUUAUUAUUAUUAUUAUUGGCAAUAUCUUUAGGAUGUUGGACAAAAUACCUCACAGUAUUUUUUUCUGCUCUUUGAGGUAACAGUUCAAUCCUCUCCACGGUCAACGUUGCCUUUCAUCCUUCCAGGAUUGAUAAAACAAAGUACCAGUUGAAUACUGGGAUCGAUAUAGUUGAUUGUUCUCUCCCACAAAAUGUCUGGCCUUGUGCCUAUUUAAGACGUUAUUACCAUUAUUGAGGCAGUGAGCUGGCAGAAUUGGUAACACACCAGGCAAAAUGCUUGGCGGCGUUUCAUGUCUUUACAUUCUGAGGUCAAAUGCUGUUGAACUUGACUUCGCGUAUCAUCCUUUCAGGGUCAAUAAAAUAAGUACCAGUUAUGCAUUGGGGUCAAUGUAAUCAACUUACCCCACUCUCCCAAACUUACUGGUCUUGCACUAAAAUUUGAAACUAUUGUUAUAACUAUUAUUAUUGUUCAAUGACUAUUCCACCGAGGUCAACUUUGCCUUUAAUCCUUUCAGGGUCGAUAAAUUAAGUACCAGUGAAAUACUGGGGUCAAUGUAAUCAACUAGUCCCCUCCUUCAAAAUUUCAAGGCCUUGUGCCUUCAGUAGAAAGGAUUAUUGUUAAAUGACUGUAUUCUUGUCAUUUUGUACAUAACUUAAGGCGAAAUCCCCGUUUAGAAGCAUAAGCAACCAUUCUAACCAUUAUUGUGGCUGGUUCUGUGUAAAUUCUCAGCAAUAACAGUUCCCAACAUGAAUUCAUUUCCAUUUUGGAAUUGUCUUACAAUGUUAACAUAUUUAGCAAAAGCAAAAACAAAAAAAAAUUCAUUGUUUUAGAUUUUGCCCUUUGAAAUAAUUAUAAAAUUUUGAAAUCGUACCUGUCUAAGAAAUAAUUCUUUUUCUAAUCAGUUUUGCCCCUUCAUCCUUUCUAAGCAUCUUCUCUCAUCAAUGUGUCAAUUUGAUUGACUAUACAUCUCUUCAGCCCAUUUUCUGGCUUUUGUUCUACUCGAAGAAAACAGUAUUAGUAGCGUACAGACAGUAGUAAAAUGUGAGCUGUAUUUAAUGCCUUACAAUACAUACCUUUGUUCCUCUCUCUACCUAAUUCAAAAAUCAGG